rnacentral:rRNA from 1 species
GGCCGGGUGUGUAAGCGCAGCGAUGCGUUGAGCGAACCGGUACUAAUGAACCGUGAGGCUUAACCUUACAACGCCGAAG